rnacentral:rRNA from 1 species
AGAGUUUGAUCCUGGCUCAGGAUGAACGCUAGCGACAGGCUUAACACAUGCAAGUCGAGGGGCAGCGGGGGUGAUGGCUUGCCAUCGCCUGCCGGCGACCGGCGCACGGGUGAGUAACACGUAUGCAACCUGCCCGCCACAGGGGGAUAAGCGGAAGAAAUUCCGUCUAAUACCGCGUGACGCGGCAUCGGGGCAUCCCGGUGCCGCCAAAGGGAUUACCGGUGGCGGAUGGGCAUGCGGCGCAUUAGCUAGUCGGCGGGGUAACGGCCCACCGAGGCGACGAUGCGUAGGGGUUCUGAGAGGAAGGUCCCCCACACUGGUACUGAGACACGGACCAGACUCCUACGGGAGGCAGCAGUGAGGAAUAUUGGUCAAUGGGCGGGAGUCUGAACCAGCCAAGUCGCGUGAGGGAUGACGGUCCUACGGAUUGUAAACCUCUUUUGCCGGGGAGCAAGCGUGCGUUCGUGAACGCACGUCGAGAGUACCCGGGGAAAAAGCAUCGGCUAACUCCGUGCCAGCAGCCGCGGU